rnacentral:rRNA from 1 species
GACGAACCGUGCGAACGUUGUUCGGAAUCACUGGGCUUAAAGGGCGCGUAGGCGGGCUCACAAGUCAGGGGUGAAAGCCCACGGCUCAACCGUGGAAGUGCCUUUGAUACUGUGGGUCUGGAGGGAGGUAGGGGCGUGCGGAACUUCCGGUGGAGCGGUGAAAUGCGUAGAUAUCGGAAGGAACACCGGUGGCGAAAGCGGCGCACUGGACCUCUUCUGACGCUGAGGCGCGAAAGCCAGGGGAGCAAACGGG